UACGUAGGGUGCGAGCGUUAAUCGGAAUUACUGGGCGUAAAGCGUGCGCAGGCGGUUCGUUAUGUCCGAUGUGAAAGCCCCGAGCUCAACUUGGGAAUGGCAUUGGAAACUGGCGGGCUGGAGUGUGGCAGAGGGGGGUGGAAUUCCACGUGUAGGCAGUGAAAUGCGUAGAGAUGUGGAGGAACACCGAUGGCGAAGGCAGCCCCCUGGGCCAACACUGACGCUCAGGCACGAAAGCGUGGGGAGCAAACAGG
rnacentral:rRNA from 1 species